rnacentral:rRNA from 1 species
AUGGGCCAUGUAGCUGCUGUCCGCUUGUUGCUACGGUUUCACCCUGCUUGCGCAGACAUUCGUGAUAACCAUUUCAGGACCUUCUUGCAUGCAACGGCUAUGAAAGGGCAGUCUUCAAUCGUGUCCUAUGUUAUAAAGGACAUGAUGCUGGAACAUCUUUUGAACACAAAAGACAACGAAGGAAAUACGCCGCUCCAUUUGACCGUGAUCGCGCGGGAGCACCGAGCUAUCUACAAGCUGCUGUCAAGAGGAAAAGUGCAUGCCCACAUUAUGAACGAUGCUGGUUGUACCCCUUCUGAUCUCAUCGAGAAUUCGACGGGUUUCUACUCAAUGGCAAGACUGGUGGUGGAAUUGUAUGUGAUGGGAGCACGGUUUAGGCCACAGAGGAGGCCUUACAUAGAGAAGUGGAAUGGUCAAGACAUAAUGAAAUGGCGAGAGACUACAUCUAAAAAUCUUGCAGUUGUUUCCACCCUCGUGGCCACUGUCGCUUUCUCGGCCGCGUUCAAUGUGCCUGGAUCAUAUGGAUCAAGUGGAAAGGCAAAUCUGAGUGGGCACCGUCGGUAG